GACGAACGCUGGCGGCAUGCCUAACACAUGCAAGUCGAACGAAACCUUCGGGUCUAGUGUCGCACGGGUGCGUAACGCGUGGGAACCUGCCCUUAGGUUCGGAAUAACUCCCCGAAAGGGGUGCUAAUACCGGAUCAUGUCUUCGGACCAAAGAUUUAUCGCCUUGGGAUGGGCCCGCGUUGGAUUAGCUAGUUGGUAGGGUAAAAGCAUACCACGGCGACGAUCCAUAGCUGGUCUGUGAGAAUGAUCAGCCACACUGGGACUGAGACACGGCCCAGACUCCUACGGGAGGCAGCAGUGGGGAAUAUUGGACCAUGGGCGAAAGCCUGAUCCAGCACGGCCGCGUGAGUGAUGAAGGCCUUAGGGUUGUAAAGCUCUUUUACCCGGGAUGAUAAUGACAGUACCGGGAGAAUAAGCCCCGGCUAACUACGUG
rnacentral:rRNA from 1 species